UUUUUUUUUGUAGUGUAUCUACUCUAUGACUCACGUUCGACCUUUUGGUCUCCAGUAUUCCAAGACCAUGUGUGUACAUGCUAGGCUCAUCAAGUUUAACCCAAGUAUUCUACAUGUGCAAAAUUGGCUUACACCCGGUGUAUGUGAACGUAGAAUCUAUCACACCAGAUCAUCAUGAGGUGCUUUGAAACGACGAACUUUAGCAACGAUGCAUACUCGAGGAGAACACUUUUAUCUUGAAAUUAAGUGAAGGGAUCAUCUUAUAAUGCUAACGUCAUUCUAAGCAAAAUUAGAUGCAUAAAGGAUAAACAUCACAUGCAAUCAAAACCGUGACAUGAUAUGGCCAUCAUCAUCUUGUGCUUUUGAUCUUCAUCUCCAAAGCAACGACAUGAUCUCCAUCGUCAUCGGCAUGGCACCUUGAUCUCCACCAGUGCGCCGCGGUCGUCUCGCCAACUAUUGCUUCUACAACUAAUGCUAACACAUAGCGAUAAAGUAAAUCAAUUACAUGGCGCUAAUUGAUUGACGCGCAGGUCAUACAAUAAUUAAAGACAACCCUAAAGCUCCUGCUGGUUGUCAUACUCAUCGACAUGCAAGUCGUGAACUUAUUACAAAACAUGAUCAUCUCAUACAUCAACAUAUAUCAUAUCACAUCUUGACCAUAUCACAUCACAACAUGCCCUGCAAAAACAAGUUAGACCUCCUCUACUUUGUUGUCGCAAGUUUACGUGGCUGCUACGGGCAACUAGCAAGAACCCUUCUUACCUACGCAAAACCACAACGAUGAUUAUCAAAUUGCUAUUUAACCUUCUGCAAGGACCACCGUAGCCAAAUUAGAUUCAACUGAAAUGGGAGAAACAGACACCCGCCAUCCACCUUUAUGCAAAACAAGUUGCAUGUCAGACGGUGGAACUGGUCUCAUGUGCGUGGACAUGUAAGGUUGGUCCGAGCCGCUUCAUCCCACAAUGCCAUCGAAUAAAAAUAAGACAUUGGUGGGAAGUAAUAUGAACAUCACCUCCCACAACUCCUUUUUGUUCCACUCGUGCAUAUCAUCUAUGCAUAUACCUAGCUCAUGAUGCCACUAUUGGGGAAUGUUGCAUGGAAAACAAAAAAUGUUCUAGGCACACGCAAGAUCUAUCCAUGGAGAUGCAUAGCUACUAGGAGGGGAUAACAUCUACAUACCCUUGUAGAUCACUAAGUGGUAGCGUUUAUCAACGCGGUUCAUGUAGUCAUACACCUUCACGAUCCGUCCCGAUCAAGUAUAGAAUGUACGACACCUUCAUGUUUAGCACAAGUUCAACUCGAUGACGUCCCCACCUUCUCGAUCCAGCAAGAGAGGCGAAGUAGUAGAUGAGUUCCGGCAGCACGACGAUGUGGUGACAGUAGUGGUGAAAGUUUUCCACAGGGCUUCGUCAAGCACAAUGGUUUGGAGCGGAGGACGAACUAGAGGGAGAGGGGGCUCCAGCACAUGGCUUAGAGAUUCGUGGUGUAUGGCGCCCCUCCCCUCCUCUAAUAUAUAUAGGUGGAGGGGGAGGGGAGACAAACCUAGGCGCGCCCCCCUUUCCUUCCAAAGGAGCGGAGGAGAAGGCAGGAGGGGCGGCGGCUGCCACUAGGACGCCUGCCUUAGGCGCCCCUUUCCUUCCCUAGGGCCGACAGCCAUGAGGUGGGGGCGCACCAGCCCCAUGUGGGCGGGUGUGCUCUCUCUCGCUGGCCUGUUUGGCCCAAUAAGUUGUCAUGGCCUUCCGGAACCCCUUGCGCUCAUCGGAUAAAUAUCUGGUGCAUUCCGAAACUCUUUGGAGACCAAACACUAUCAUCCUAUAUAUCAAUCUUUACCCCCCCCCCUGGACCAUUCUGGAGCUCAUCGUCCUGCCUGUGAUCUUAUCUGGGACUCUGAACAACAUUCGGUCACCAACAUACAUAAAUCAUAUAUUACUAUAUAACCAACAAACGUUAAGCGUGCGGACCCUACUGGUUCGAGAAUGAUGUAGACAUGACCGAGACGCUUCUCCGAUCAAUAACCAAUAGCGGGAUCUGGAUGCCAAUAUUGGUUCAUACAUAUUCUAUGAAGAUCUUUAUCGGGCGAACCUUUAUGACAACAUACAUAGUCUCCUUUGUUUGUCGGUAUGAUACUUACCCGAGAUUCGAUCAUCGGUAUCCCAUACCUAGUUCAAUCUCAUUACCGGGAAGUCUCUUUAUUCAUUUCGUAAUACAUCAUCUUGUAACCAGCUCCUUAGUCACAUUGCUUGCAAGCUUCUUGUGAUUUUGUAUUACCGAGAGGGCCCAAAGAUACCUCUCCGUCAUACGGAGUGACAAAUCCCAAUCUUGAUUCAUGCCAACUCAACAGACACCUUCGGAGAAACUUGUAGAGCACCUUUAUGAUCACCCAGUUACGAAGUGAAGUUUGAUGGCACACAAGGUAUUCCUCCGGUAUCCAGGAGUUGCAUGAUCUCAUGGUCGAAUGAACAUGUAUUUGACAUUAAGAAAGCAGUAGCAAAAACUGAACGAUCAUUUGCUAUGCUAACGGAUGGGUCUUGUCCAUCACAUCAUUCCCCUAAUGAUGUGAUCCUGAUAUCAAGUGACAACUCAUGCCUAUGGUUAGGAAACCUUAACCAUCUUUUGAUCAACGAGCUAGUCUCUUAGAGGCUUACUAGGGACUUGAUAUUUGCUUAUGUAUUCAUAUAUGUAUUCAAGUUUCCAAUCAAUACAGUUAUAGCAUGAACAAUAAACCUUUAUCAUGAUUAAGGAAAUAUAAUAAUAACCACUUUAUUAUUGCCUCUACGACAUAUUUCCAACAAUUUCUCACUCAGACCAAGUACGCAAUUGAAAUCAUCGACCUUGUCGGCAUGAGCAGCUGCAAGCCUAUGUCGACUCCUGUCGACACGUCUUUGAAGCAAGCCGCCCUGAUCCCUAUGGACGACCCAACGACUCACCUACACCACGUCGAGCUUUGCGGUGCUUUUUUGGCAAACAACUUUGUAGUAUGUGAUGUUCACACAUCUUGACAUUGCCUAUGCGGUGCAACAAAUUGCCUCUACAUGCAUGAGCAUCAUCUCUCACUGGUUAAAUGAGUUAUUUGGUACUUCCUGGGCACCCUUGACCACAACCUGCAGCUAACACCGUCUGCCAACGACUCCCUCAUCGCCCACACCAACGCCAACUAGGCUGGCUACCCCAACAUUCAUCACCCUAGUUCGAACUACUUUGUUUACCUUAGUGAGAAUCUCAUGUCUUGGUGUUCCAAACGCCAACACACCGUUUCUCGCUCUAGUGCUGAAGUCUCAAAACUGAGUCGUCGCCAAUGUUGUUGUCGAAGAUAGUUGUCUUCAUCAGGUCCUGUCAAAACUAAAACACCCUCUACGUCAAGCUACUAUCGUGUUCUCUGAUAAUGUCAAUGCGGUCCUACAUAUCCAUGCACCCGGUUCAACAUCAAUGAAUCAAACACAUCGAUAUUGACCCGCACUUCGUCUGUGACCGAGUCGCUCUUCAGGACAUUAGAAUGUUCCACGUGCCAUCAUGUCACACCCCGAUGAUUAAGCUACAGUAAUCACAUGUUAAUGGUGCCAUGUCAUUAGUUUUACUGUUGCUAACCUCACUUUGAUUCAAACACAAUUCAAAUUCAAAAUUCAAAUUAUAAGUGAAAUAAUAAAAUUCUCAAACAUGAAAACUAAAAUGUUCAAAAAAUAGCAAAUAUUCCAUAGGUAAUUGUGGUGGAGAAACCAACAUUUUUAAAAUUGUCUAAAUGCCCUUUAAAAAAUAAAAGAGGGGCUAAAACAAUUAUUUAAAUGCCUUUUUAAAAUUAAAAAAAUGCAAACUAAGUUAUUUAAAUGCCAAACUUUUUGUGGCAGUGGCAUAUUUUACAACACUAAUUUAGGAGCUAUUUUGGUAUUUUAUAAAACUAAAUUAAUAUGAAAAUAAAAUGGAAAACAUAAAUAAAAAAAGGAAAAAGUGUAACCCCUCGGGCCUUGGCCCAGCUGGCCAAAGUCGGCCCACCCCCUGCCUCCCCUGUUCAAGCGAUUGCGUCACUACAGGGGAGCGGUCUCCCCCGACCACAUUGUCGGCGCCGACGGGGCGGCGUCGCCCAGACCACCUCAUCGGCGAUGACAGGGAGGGGAUAAGGUCGCCCUUCCCUUGGCCCCCUCGCCUCUUCCGNNNNNNNNNNNNNNNNNNNNNNNNNNNNNNNNNNNNNNNNNNNNNNNNNNNNNNNNNNNNNNNNNNNNNNNNNNNNNNNNNNNNNNNNNNNNNNNNNNNNNNNNNNNNNNNNNNNNNNNNNNNNNNNNNNNNNNNNNNCACCGUGCUCAUCCCCGAGGUCGCCGCUAGUCGCUCGUCACCGCCACGAACGUCCCCGUCGCUGCCUCACCUCGUCGUUGACCUGCUUCUCCAAGCCUUAUCGCCCAUUGUCUCGGGGGGUGAGCUCCCGUCUGUGCUCCUCCCUCUCCCCUCGUACCCACCUUGUCGUUCGCCACGCUCCGCCCGCGGUCGUCGCGCCCCCAUGCGUGCUGACGGCCGCGCCUUCGUGCGCGCCCACGACCCGCAUCCCCUAUUCGUCGCGCCCGCCCGCGCCUACUGCUGCCUUGGCCGCACCUUGGGUAGCGCGCGCCUGCCCUGAACCCUGCGGCUGCCUGCCUCUGCGCCUGCGCCGUCCCGCUCCCGCAUGCCCCCAGCCUCGCUCCACUGCUGUCGCGCCCGCAUCCACACUACCCGAUGCCGCCGCUCCUGCCCACGCCCCACCUCUCUGCUGGCUGCGCUCGGCAGUGCGUCGCCCGCCCGUCUCUACGCCCGCCCGGUCAAGCCCCCCUGCUCCCUUUGCAUCAGCCUCGCCCCGACUGCCGUUUCCCGCGCACCGAGCCACGUCGCCCCCUCCUGCUCGUUGCUCGCCCGUGCUCGACUUUCAGCAGUGGCUGCACGCUGUCGUCUUUGUCGGCGGCCCCUGCGUCUCCAACGACCGCGGGUCGACGCAGGCCACCGCCCCCGUCCCACGGCCGCUCCCGGUUGACCUAGAUCACCGGAGAGGCGAGUCCGACGACCCACCGUCGGCCUCUGUGCCAAUCGCCAGUGGCGCACGUGCGCGUGAUCAGCCACGCUGCGGCUGGCCCUAUGCCACUGCCAAGUGGGCCCUGCCCCUGCUUUAAACAAAAAAUAAACAAAAAAGAAAAAAUUUAAUAAGAAAAUAAUUAAUUAAUUAGUAAUUUAAUUAAUUAACUUGAUUAAACUAAACAGUCUAUGGCAGGAGGCCCCGCCCCUGUUGACCAGUCAACUUUGACUGGUCAACUGGGACCCCCUGGAGCCACCUAUCAGCUAGUGUGUACACUUUUGUGUACACAUGUGGGUGUACAUAGCAUUUUACCUUUUAUUUUCAAUUAAAAAUAAUUUCAAAAAAUUGUUUAAAAUUUUGUAAAUUCAUACAAAAUAAUUCGUGACUUGGAUGAAAAUAAUUUGUAUAUGAAAGUUGCUCAGAAAAGCGUGACGAAUCCGAUACCAUCUGUUCAUCUAUCACAUGGCCCUAGCAUGUCGAACAUGGAUCUGUCCGCUCUGAUUCAUCCGUCAGAAAAAUGCCAAACUCUGGGAAAACCUUCCCGGAUGUUUUCCCUCUUCGUCGAUAUCUUGUAACACUGCGAUAGGUCACCCCUAGCAGUGCAUAUUGUCAUGUCGUGCAUCGUGAUGCAUCUGUUUGCUUUGUAUUUAUUAUUUCUCCCCCCUCUUCUCUCCGGUAGAAACCGAGACUGACGCCGCCGCUGCCUAGUACGACUAUGGUGUCGACGACCCCUCCUCAACAGAGCUUCCAGGCAAGCAAAACCCCCUUGAUCAUUCUGAUACCGCCUACUCUUUCCUCUACUGCUUGCAUUAGAGUAGAGUUACUAUUACUGUCUUAACAGGACUCAUAUACUGUUGUCUGCUGCAUCGCAUGUCCUUGUUGCUACUUGAUACGUCUCCAACAUAUCUAUAAUUUAUGAAGCAUUCAUGCUAUUUUCAUAUCUGUUUUGAAUGAUUAUGGGCUUUAUUAUACACUUUUAUAUUACUUUUGGGACUAACCUAUUAACCGGAGGCCCAGCUAAUAUUGCUAUUUUUAUUGCAUGUUUCAGUAUUUCGAAGAAAAGGAAUAUCAAACGAAGUCCAAACGAAAUGAAACCUUCGGGAGCGUGAUUUUCGGAACGAACAUGAUCCGGGAGACUUGGAGUACAAGCCGGGGAAGCUUCGAGGAGGCCAGGAGAUAGGAGGGUGCGCCCACCCCCCUGGGCGUGCCCCCCUGUCUCAUGGGCCCCUCAAGACUCCCCUGACCGACUUCUUUCACCUAUAUAUUCCCUUAUACCCUAAAACCAUCAAAGACGAAAAAUAGAUCGGGAGUUCCGCCGCCGCAAGCCUCUGUAGCCACCAAAAACCUCUCGGGAGCCUGUUCCGGCACCCUGCUGAAGGGGGGAUCCCUCAAUGGUGGCCAUCUUCAUCAUCCCGACGCUCUCCAUGACGAGGAGGGAGUAGUUCACCUCGGGGCUGAGGGUAUGUACCAGUAGCUAUGUGUUUGAUCUCUCUCUCUCGUGUUCUCUCUAUGGCACGAUCUUGAUGUAUCGCGAGCUUUGCUAUUAUAGUUGGAUCUUAUGAUGUUUCUCCCCCUCCACUCUCUUGUGACGAAUUGAGUUUUCCUCUUGAACUUAUCUUGUCGGAUUGAGUCUUUAAGGAUUAGAGAACACUUGAUGUAUGUCUUGUCGUGCUUAUCUGUGGUGACAAUGGGAUAUCACGUGAUCCACUUGAUGUAUGUUUUGGUGAUCAACUUGCGGGUUCCGCCCAUGAACCUAUGCAUAGGGGUUGGGACACGUUUUCGUCUUGACUCUCCGGUAGAAACUUUGGGGCACUCUUUGAAGUACUUUGUGUUGGUUGAAUAGAUGAAUCUGAGAUUGUGUGAUGCAUAUCGUAUAAUCAUGCCCACGGAUACUUGAGGUGACAAUGGAGUACCUAGGUGACAUUAGGGUUUUGGUUGAUUUGUGUCUUAAGGUGUUAUUCUAGUAUGAACUCUAUGAUAGAUUGAACGGAAAGAAUAGCUUCAUGUUAUUUUACUACAGACUCUUGAAUAGAUAGAACAGAAAGGAUAACUUUGAGGUGGUUUUGUACCCUACCAUAAUCUCUUCGUUUGUUCUCCGCUAUUAGUAACUUUGAGUGACUCUUUGUUGCAUGUUGAGGGAUAGUUAUAUGAUCCAAUUAUGUUAUUAUUGUUGAGAGAACUUGCACUAGUGAAAGUAUGAACCCUAUGCCUUGUUUCCUACCAUUGCAAUACCGUUUGCGCUCACUUUUAUCAUUAGUUACCUUGUUGUUUUUAUAUUUUCAUAUUACAAAAACAUAUAUCUACUAUCCAUAUUGCACUUGUAUCACCAUCUCUUCGCGGAACUAGUGCACCUAUACAAUUUGCCAUUGUAUUGGGUGUGUUGGGGACACAAGAGACUCUUUGUUAUUUGGCUGCAGGGUUGUUUGAGAGAGACCAUCUUCAUCCUACGCCUCCCAUGGAUUGAUAAAGCUUAGGUCAUCCACUUGAGGGAAAUUUGCUACUGUCCUACAAACCUCUGCACUUGGAGGCCCAACAACGUCUACAAGAAGAAGGUUGUGUAGUAGACAUCAAGCUCUUUUCUGGCGCCGUUGCCGGGGAGGCUAGGUAAGCGGCACUCACACCCCAUCAACUAAUCUCUUUUUCGGCGCCGUUGCCCGGGAGGUGAGUGCUUGAAGGUAUAUCUUUAUAUCUUGCAAUCGAAUCUUUUUGUUUCUUGUUUUAUCACUAGUUUACUUUAUAAAAUAAAACUACAAAAAAAAUGGAGUUAAGUUUGUCUCAUACGCUUCAUCUUUUUAAUAUCUUUCGUGAGUAUGAUGAAAAGAAAAAUUGUUCUCAAAUGCUAUAAGAAGAAUUACAUAGAAUGUUUGGCAUGAAAUAUGUGAAUGAUGAGCAUGAUUGCAAUGUUGUUAGUAUGAAUUCCUUGAAUAUCCAUGAUGCUAAUGAUAUGCAAAGCCACAAGCUUGGGGAAGCUAUGUUUGAUGAAGAUGAUAUUUUUUGUCCCCCAAGUUUUGAUGAACAAAUUUAUUAUGAUGAAAGCAUGCCUCCUAUUUAUGAUGAUUAUAUUGAUGAAAGUGGGUUUGGAAGAGUGUCAACUUUAGGAAGUAGUGAUCCCACUAUUUUGGAGGAUGUUGAAUCUUAUUGUGAUGAACAUGAAAGUGGAUUUGUAAGAGUGUCAACUUUAUUUAGUGAUGAUUCCACUAUCUUGGAAGAGGUUUCAAUCGAUUAUGAUGAGAACAAAGUUGCUACUUAUGAUGAUUAUUGUGAUAAAAGUUAUGCUAUAAAAAGUAGUGAUGAUUAUAUUUAUAAAACUUGUCAUGAUUAUGAUUACCCUUUUUCUGAACAUUACUCUUUUAAUGUGGAAACAAUUUUUAGUAUUCAAGUCUCUUAUGAUACUCCCACUAUUCCAAAUGAGAAGAAUUUUGCUUAUGUGGAGAGUAGUAAAUUUUCUAUGCUUGUAGAUCAUGAAAGGAAUGCUUUAGGUGUUGGUUAUAUUGUUGAAUUCAUUCAUGAUGCUACUGAAAAUUAUUAUGAGGGAGGAACAUAUGCUUGUAGGAAUUGCAAUAAUGUCAAGUUUCCUCUCUAUGUGCUUAAAAUCUUGAAGUUAUGCUUGUUUUGCCUUCCUAUGCUAGUUGAUUAUUGUUCCCAUAAGUUGUUUGAUCACAAAAUCCCUAUGCAUAGGAAGUGGGUUAGAUUUAAAUGUGCUAGUCAUAUGCUUCAUGAUGCUCCCGUUAUGUUUCAAUUCUUAUCUUUUAUGUGAGCAUCAUUGUCAUCAUCAUGCCUAGCUAAAAGGCAUUAAAGAAAAGCGUUUGCUGGGAGACAACCCAAUAUUUAUCCUUACUGUUUUUGUGUGUACACACUAUUAUUCUACUGUAGUAAUCAUGUUUUAUAGCUUUUGUUUCAAUAAAGUGCCAAGUAAGACCUUUAGGAUAGCUUAUGGUGAUAGUUGUGCUGAUCCUGCUGAGAAUCAGAAACUUUUGCACCCAGUACAUUAGUUUUGUUAAUUCACAGAAACGUGAUUCUGAUCUGAUUCUUUUUUAUAUGGAUUGGUACACAGAUUUCUUAGGACUUCCUAAUUUGGUAGGAUUUUUGGAGUUCCAGAAGUAUACAUUUGAUACAGAUUACUACAUAUUGUUCUGUUUUUGACAGAUUCUGUUUUCUAUGUGUCAUUUGCUUAUUUUGAUGAAUCUAUGAGUAGUAUCGUAGGAUAUGAACCAUAGAUAAGUUGGAGUACAGUAGAUAUUACACCAAUAUGAAUUAAGAAUGAGUUCAUUACAAUACCUAAGUGGUGGUUUUAUUUUCUUAUACUAACGGAGCUUACGAGUUUUCUGUUGAGUUUUGUGUUGUGAAGUUUUCAAGUUUUGGGUGAAGAUUCGAUGGACUAUGGAAUAAGGAGUGCCAAGAGCCUAAUCUUGGGGAUGCCCAAGGAACCCCAAGGUAAUAUUCAAGGACAACCAAGAGCCUAAGCUUGGGGAUGCCCCGGAUGGCAUCCCCUCUUCCGUCCUCGUUCAUCGGUAACUUUACUUGGAGCUAUAUUUUUAUUCACCACAUGAUAUGUGUUUUGCUUGGAGCGUCAUUUUCUCUUGUUAGUAUUUGCUUGAUGUUAUUUAGAAUAAUGUUUUUCAUCUUUAGUUUCAAUAAUAAUGUCAAGGAUAGCCUUUACCAUGCUUAUUUUGCUAGUAUACAUGUUGCUAUUUGAAAACAGAAAGUUUACCAUUGUUGCAAAAAUUCCCUAGAAAGGUCAAAGAAUGGUUUAAUGUUGAAACUUUUUGCAUAUUGAGCUCUGAUAAAUUUACUACAGCGGGAAUUUUCUCUCAUAAUUUUUGGAGAUAGGGAAGUAUUGAUACUCUUGCAUUCUUUACAGACUGUACUGUUUUGGCAGAUUGCUGUUAUGUUUACAUUGUUUGCAUAUGUUUGCUUGUUUAAUGAUUCUAUUUGAGGAUAGGAGUAUUAAAUAUGCAGAGGCAUUUAGUAUGAAAUGUUGAAUAAUAAUUUUAGUGAUUUGUUAUAGUAGAAAUUGAUAAGGUUUUGCAUUGGUUUAUACUAACCUAUCUCACGAGUUCUUGUUGAGUUUGGUGUGGAUGAAGCUUUUGAUAAAAAGAGAAACCAUGAUAUGAGAGGAAUUAAGGAGACACAAAAGUUCAAGCUUGGGGAUGCUCAAGGCACCCCAAGAUAAUAUUUCAAGAAGUCUCAAGCAUCUAAGCUUCGGGAUGCCCCGAUAGGCAUCCCACCUUUCUUCUUCAACAAUUAUCGGUUAGUAUCGGUUGAACCUAAGUUUUUGCUUCUUCACUUGAGUUGUGCUAUCCUUGCAAUGUCAUUUUAUUUUGUUUUGCUUGUUGUUUGAAUAAGAUACCAAGAUCUGAAAUUCUUUAAUGAGAGAGAGUCUUCACAUAGUUACACAAUAAUUUAGCUACUCAUUGAUCUUCACUUAUAUCUUUUUGGAGUAGUUUGUCAUUUUUUCGUGUGCUUCACUUAUAUCCUAUGAGUAAAUGAUUGAAUGAGUUGAACGUCAUAAAUCUGAAAUUAUAUAUGUUUCAUUUUCUUAUCCCAUGGGGAGUAAUGACUUCACAUCUAAGAAGUAGAGGUUGUAAAUUUAUUGAAGGUUAUCAAGCAUUGUAUUGGUCAUUUGAACAAUUAAUGAAAUAAUAUUGAAGGAAGAGAGAUUUCACAUAUAGAUAUACUAUCCUAGACAUCUUUUAUAAUUGUGAGCACUCAUUAAGUAUGACAUGCUAAAGAGUUGAUGUUGGACAAGGAAGACAAUGUAAUGGGUUAUGUUUUCUCACAUCUCAGUUAAAGUAUAUUGUCAUGGAUCAUUCAAACAUGUUGAGCUUGCCUUUCCCCCCUCAUGCUAGCCACAUUCCUUGCACCAAGUAGAGAUACUACUUGUGCUUCCAAAUAUCCUUAAACCUAGUUUUGCCAUGAGAGUCCACCAUACCUACCUAUGGAUUGAGUAAGAUCCUUCAAGUAAGUUGUCAUCGGUGCAAGCAAUAAAAAUUGCUCUCUAAAUAUGUAUGAUCUAUUAGUGUGAAGAAAAUAAGCUUUAUAUGAUCUUGUUAUGGAAGCAAUAAAAGCGAUGGACUGCAUAAUAAAGCUCCAUAUACAAGUGGCAAUAUAAAGUGACGUUCUUUUGCAUUAAGAUUUUGUGCAUCCAACCAUAAAAGCGCAUGACAACCUCUGCUUCCCUCUACGAAGGGCCUAUCUUUUACUUUAUAUCUUUUACUUUAUGCAAGAGUCAAGGUGAUCUUCACCUUUCCCUUUUUCAUUUUAUCCUUUGGCAAGCACCUCGUGUUNNNNNNNNNNNNNNNNNNNNNNNNNNNNNNNNNNNNNNNNNNNNNNNNNNNNNNNNNNNNNNNNNNNNNNNNNNNNNNNNNNNNNNNNNNNNNNNNNNNNNNNNNNNNNNNNNNNNNNNNNNNNNNNNNNNNNNNNNNNNNNNNNNNNNNNNNNNNNNNNNNNNNNNNNNNNNNNNNNNNNNNNNNNNNNNNNNNNNNNNNNNNNNNNNNNNNNNNNNNNNNNNNNNNNNNNNNNNNNNNNNNNNNNNNNNNNNNNNNNNNNNNNNNNNNNNNNNNNNNNNNNNNNNNNNNNNNNNNNNNNNNNNNNNNNNNNNNNNNNNNNNNNNNNNNNNNNNNNNNNNNNNNNNNNNNNNNNNNNNNNNNNNNNNNNNNNNNNNNNNNNNNNNNNNNNNNUGAACUAUUAUUGUUGACAUCACCCAAAGGUGAAUACAUUGGGAGGCAACAUUAUAAGCCCCUAUAUUUCUUAGUGUCGGAUUAAAACUCCAUAACCAUUAGUAUUGCCUGAGUGUUAGCAAUUGUAGAAGACUAUAUGAUAGUUGAGUAUGUGGAGUUUCCUAAAUCAAAGCUCUGACAUAGACCCUUCCUGAAAAUAAGAUGAAUUGUAAUUGUUUGAUGACUGAGAAUGAAGUUUGCUAGUUUUCAAAAAAGUUUAUGGUCUAUGCUUUAACAUGUGAAUUGCUUGUUGCUUGUUCGUGAGAAGUUUUAUGAGAUGAACUACUGUUAUGACAUAUAAUCAUGCUAGAAAAGGUGAUUGAAAUUAUCAUUGAUCAAACUUGUGCACCUGCUAGCAUUCACACUUCAUAAAUUCUUUCUUUUAUCAUUUACCUACUCGAGGACGAGCAAGAAUUAAGCUUGGGGAUGCUGAUACGUCUCCAACGUAUCUAUAAUUUAUGAAGCAUUCAUGCUAUUUUAAUAUCUGUUUUGAAUGAUUACAGGCUUUAUUAUACACUUUUAUAUUACUUUUGGGACUAACCUAUUAACCGGAGGCCUAGCCCAUAUUGUUGUUUUAUUGCAUGUUUCAGUAUUUUGAAGAAAAGGAAUAUCAAACGGAUUCCAAACGGAAUGAAAUCUUCGGGAGCGUGAUUUUUGGAAUGAAUAUGAUCUGGGAGACUUGGAGUACAAGCCGGGGAAGCUUCGAGGAGGCCAGGAGAUAGGAGGGCGCGCCCACCCCCCUGGGCGCGCCCCCUGUCUCGUGGGCCCCUCGAGACUCCCCCGACCGACUUCUUUCGCCUAUAUAUUCUCUUAUACCCUAAAAUCAUCAAAGACGAACAAUAGAUCGGGAGUUCCGCUGCCGCAAGCCUCUGUAGCCAACAAAAACCUCUCGGGAGCCCGUUCUGGCACCCUGCCGGAGGGGGGAUCCCUCACCGGUGGCCAUCUUCAUCAUCCCGACGCUCUCCAUGACAAGGAGGGAGUAGCUCACCCUCGGGGCUGAGGGUAUGUACCAGUAGCUAUGUGUUUGUUCUCUCUCUCUCUCUCAUGUUCUCUCUAUGGCACAAUCUUGAUGUAUCGCGAGCUUUGCUAUUAUAGUUGGAUCUUAUGAUGUUUCUCCCCCUCUACUCUCUUGUGAUAAAUUGAGUUUUCCUCUUGAAGUUAUCUUGUCGGAUUGAGUCUUUAAGGAUUUGAGAACACUUGAUGUAUGUCUUGCCGUGCUUAUCUGUGGUGGCAAUGGGAUAUCACAUGAUCCACUUGAUGUAUGUUUUGGUGAUCAACUUGCAGGUUCCGCCCAUGAACCUAUGCAUAGGGGUUGGCACACGUUUUCGUCUUGACUCUCCGAUAGAAACUUUGGGGCACUCUUUGAAGUACUUUGUGUUGGUUGAAUAGAUGAAUCUGAGAUUGUGUGAUGCAUAUCAUAUAAUCAUGCCCACGGAUACUUGAGGUGACAAUGGAGUAUCUAGGUGACAUUAGGGUUUUGGUUGAUUUGUGUCUUAAGGUGUUAUUCUAGUAUGAACUCUAUGAUAGAUUGAACGGAAAGAAUAGCUUCAUGUUAUUUUACUACAGACUCUUGAAUAGAUAGAACAGAAAGGAUAACUUUGAGGUGGUUUUGUACCCUACCAUAAUCUCUUCGUUUGUUCUCCGCUAUUAGUAACUUUGGAGUGACUCUUUGUUGCAUGUUGAGGGAUAGUUAUAUGAUCCAAUUAUGUUAUUAUUGUUGAGAGAACUUGCACUAGUGAAAGUAUGAACCCUAUGCCUUGUUUCCUACCAUUGCAAUACCGUUUGUGCUCACUUUUAUCAUUAGUUACCUUGCUGUUUUUAUAUUUUCAGAUUACAAAAAGCUAUAUCUACUAUCCAUAUUGCACUUGUAUCACCAUCUCUUCGCCGAACUAGUGCACCUAUAUAAUUUGUCAUUGUAUUGGGUGUGUUGGGGACACAAGAGACUCUUUGUUAUUUGGUUGCAGGGUUGUUUGAGAGAGGCCAUCUUCAUCCCACGCCUCCCAUGGAUUGAUAAACCUUAGGUCAUCCACUUAAGGGAAAUUUGCUACUGUCCUACAAACCUCUACACUUGGAGGCCCAACAACGUCUACAAGAAGAAGGUUGUGUAGUAGACAUCACUACUAUUCUUGACACUUUACCUGGUAUCUCAAACGCUUAGUAUAGGUUGCUAGUAUUCCAUCGGUGGACUUACAUUCUUGUCCGUCUGCCAUGCUAUACUAUCGGGACAUGAUCCCUCCGGGAGGUGAUCACGGGUAUUAUACAUGAUACAUGUUGCGACUAAAGUCGGGUCGGCUCAUAGAGUACCCGCGAGUGAUUCACGGACUUGGGGCUAAAAGGAUUUUUUUUCCGAGGGCCCCCUGAGUGAUUCUUUGUGGCGGAGCGACAGGGCAGGUUGAGACCACCUAGGAGAGAGCUGGGCCUGGUCCCUAGUUGGCAUCCACAGUUACUUCAAAAUAACAUGCUUAACGAGAUUUGGAUAUUUGAUCCGAGUUGGCUGUGGACCUAUACGCACUAACCACCACACGAGGAUAGUUAUGGGCACUUGGCGUCGUACGAUUUCUCCUGAAAGCUCUUUGGACGUUAGCAAUGGAGUUGCACGCGCCCGGACGGUCCGCGUAAGCACCUGCCUUGUAUAAGGAGGUAGCCAGGACUGAUCUCGGUCGUCCAUGCAACGUGCAGGAGUGCAAAGGGACAGGGGCCCAAGACCCUUGCAUGCUUAGGAUGUAGACCGGCGUGCUGGCCUCUCUGUUGAGUCUAGGUAGGACUACGACGUGUUGAUCUUCUGAGGCCGGGCAUGACCCAGGAAAGUGUGCCUAGCCAGAGUGAUCGAGCAUGUUGGGCAAUGUGGUGCACCCCUGCAGGGAAGUUGAUCUAUUCAAAUAGCCGUGUCCAUGGUAAUAGGAUGACUUGGAGUUGUAUUCGGACGUCUUACAACUAAAACCAUAUACUUAAUAAAACACACCUAGAUAAGUGACAGAUACAACCCGGAGAUUGCUUUCUCACAGGGAGAUGAGCAGAGGAUCUCCGGGUAGGAUCAUGCUAUGUGAUGAUACUUGUUACUAUACCAGCUACUCUCUUCUACUGCUUCAAGAUGGAGGCUGCCAGAAGCAUAGUCUUCUAUAGGACAAGCUUCUCCUCCUCUCAUUCUGGCAUUCUGCAGUUUAGUCCACAGAUACUACCCCUUUUACUGAUAUCGAUGCAUAUGUAGUGUAGAUCUGAUGUAAGUCUUGCGAGUACUUUGGAUGAGUACCCACGGUUGCUUUGCUACCUCUUUCUCCCCUAUACCCGGUUGUUGCGACCAGAUGGCGGAUCCCAGGAGCCAGAUGCCACCGCGGAUGACUGCUACUACCCCGAGGGUGCCUACUACUACGUGGAGGCCGACGAUGACCAGGAGUAGAUAGGAGGCUCCUAGGUAGGAGGCCUUGGCUUUUCGAUAGUUGCUAUUUUUGUGCUAGCCUUCUUAAGGCAAACUUGUUUACCUUAUGUAUGUAGUUAGAUAUUGUUGCUUUCGCUGACUCGUUUGUAUUCGAGCCCUCGAGGCCACUGGCUUGUAAUAUAAAGCUUGUAUGACUUUAAUUUGUGUCUAGAGUUGUGUUGUGAUAUCUUCCCGUGAGUUCCUGAUCUUGAUCGCACACAUUUGAUGUAUAAUCAAUGUACGAUUGAAUCGGAGGCGUCACCCGUCAUGUCAAUAGUUCAUGGACAUAUUCACCAAGGGGUUGUAGUCCCCUUUUGUUCUUGUACUCCAAACCAGCCUCAAUCUCCGCAAAACUCUGAUGUGUCUGCAAGGGAGUGUCAGGCAAAUAAAACAUACUUGGUAUUUUGUUACCCCUUUCCAUAUUUAGCGCCUACUGUAAUUAGCGAAAUCAGGUCAUUAUGGUUAGGAUUGUAGUUAUGAUGUUUUUCAAAUUACCUAUAUAUAUCAUACUCCCUUUAUUCCUUUAUGUAAGGUCUAUUAUUUCCAGCACGGUGACCAAGGCAUAUAAUUAUAGACAAUUUAUGCUGAAAUUAUCCUUGUGUAAUUUGUGGAUUAGCGGCAAGAUAAACCUUUAGGCUAGGAAAGGGAGAGAUACACGCAAUCGUGAGAGAGAUAGUUUCCUUUUUUUCUGUAUAUAAGAAGAGAUACUUUCCUUUUUCUAGAGGGUCAAGAUUAGAAUUAUGAGGAAUUAGAACAAAUACACCUUACUUGUGAAUUUUUAUCAAAAAGCAAAUAUACCUUACAUAAAGGAACAGAGGGAGUGUAUCGGGAAGGUCCCAAAUUGCAGCCUACUUUGGGGGGGGGGGAGGUGAGGGGAGGGAUUUUCUAUUGAUCAAUCUGGAUCAGAGAGAUCCGACUUCAACAGUUUUACCCCAUUCAAUCUUGAACGCAACCAGACUGUUGUUUUAACCUCCAUACAGCCAAUCCUAGCAAGUUCAUGGUUAACAUUAUUCAUCUCACGCCAGAUAGCUAUAAUCUCUAUCUUCCUCUCACUCUUGAUCAGAGAUUUGAUCUCCUAAACUGAAAAGCCAUCACGGGACCUAUUCAUCGACGACUUGUGGCCUCUAAUCGAAAUCUUUUAACUAGAAGUGACACAAUGAAGAUUGCUUACGCUGUGAAGAGCAUAAAAUGAUAGUGUUGUCACUUGGAUAAUUUCCUCCAACAAAAGAUUUCUUACCACAAUAUAACAACAUGCAAAACUUCGUAGCCUACUUUGCACUGUGUUGUGGUCUGCCAACCCGCGCCGCUUGCAUCCCUUCUUUAAUAGCAAAAAAGAGAGUAACGCAUCAUUCACGGUACGCGUCCCAAAGAGAAAUACUACUUCCUCAAUCCCAUAAUGUAAGACACUUUUUUUUACAUAAAACGAUUUUUGACAUUGCAGUAGAGUAAAAAAAAACUUCUUACGUAUGGGAGGGAGUGAGUAUGUGAUUCCACGACUCUCACCCCUCUUGACCGGGACGCAGGAUUGCCCCGUCUCCAGAUUUGGAGCGUAGACUUCCCAACCGGAGCGUUUCCACGGUGCCGAAGAAAAGCCAAAGAAAAAAACCCAGGUGACCGGUCGGUCAAAUGGCACCACACCGAGCAGAGUCGCCAAGCCAAAUAAUAGCGCGUCGGCUGCUACUACCUUCCAUCCGCUCCGUCCCCAUCGGCCCCUGGAUUUCCACGCCCUCAACACCCUGCGACACGCGCAAUCCGUGCGUACUGCACACAAACUGACAAUCGCGGCCCCACCCGCCAGCCACAGUGCUCCCGGUCCAGCCCGAUCCGGUUGGUGCGUGCAGCGCGUCUCCAUACAAGAGAGCAGCAGCUGCCGGUUGACCGUUGAACCCUCCCCAGCCGUGCGAUGAGCGCGCUGCCACGAGACGGCCUCCAUCGGGCCGUCCGUCCGUCCCGGCGCCAUCCCCUCAGUUCCCGGGCGAUACGCACAAAAAAAGAGCGAGAGACCGCGCGCACCAGCACAGCAGCUGUGGUGUGCUCCCGCUCGCUUUCUCGCUACCUUCCUCAGCUGAGCCGAGAGCAAAGCAUUAGCGGAGCCGCCCUUUUCUAUUUAUAAUUCCCUCCUCCUCACCCCUACAAGAAUCGAGAGCCAGGAUAAAGUCAAUCAUCAGCUCAGCCUCAUCCCGUUGCGCGUGCGUCCGUGCGUGUUGCCUCCUGUGAUUGGGUUUCCGGUUAGUUUCUUGGCUGUUUGAGAAUGGACGGCGCUCCGGUGGCCGAGUUCCGGCCGACGAUGACGCACGGCGGCCGCUUCCUCCUCUACAACAUAUUCGGCAACCAGUUCGAGAUCACGGCAAAGUACCAGCCGCCGAUCAUGCCCAUCGGCCGCGGCGCCUACGGGAUCGUCUGGUACGUACCUUCGCCUCAUCUUAAUUUGCUCCUCAAUCACCAUCGAUUUCCUGCCAAGCUUGUUCGAGUCGUUGCGGCUCUGAUCGGAAAACAGAGGGGGAAUUGGCUCGGGCCAUGGGGAAAGAUAGGGUUAGGCCAAUUCACGCCUUUCUGUGAACAACACUAGUUUAGUAGCACUAUACUUUUAUCAGUUGAGCAAAUAUGUUAGUAAUCUGUCAGUGCUCAGUGGUUGGUGGUGUUUAAUCAUGUCCUGAAAUUCCACUUGUGGUUGCGUGGGCGCAGCUCGGUGAUGAACUUCGAGACGAGGGAGAUGGUGGCAAUCAAGAAGAUCGCAAACGCCUUCGACAACAACAUGGACGCCAAGCGCACGCUCCGGGAGAUCAAGCUCCUCAGGCACCUCGACCACGAGAACGUAAUCAACAUCUUUCUCUUCCGCUUCAGAUGUUUGUAUCUGACUGAAUUCGGCAAUUCAGGCGCUAACCUGAUACGCUGUAUCGACGGACAUCACACGCAGAUAGUAGGCCUCCGAGAUGUGAUCCCGCCGGCGAUCCCGCAGUCCUUCAACGACGUCUACAUCGCCACCGAGCUCAUGGACACGGACCUCCACCACAUCAUCCGCUCCAACCAAGAACUCUCAGAAGAACACUGCCAGGUAGUAAGGAGUAAGGACUAAGGAGAAGAGAAGGGCAUCAUAUUCUGAAUGAACAGAAAUAAGCCAUCGAUUUUGUUCAUAUUUGUCACGAUUUGAUCCGUAUGUAUAUUCAUGUGCCGUGGUGUUCUUGGGUGGCUUUCAGUACUUCCUGUACCAGCUGCUGCGCGGCCUCAAGUACAUCCACUCGGCGAACGUGAUCCACCGCGACCUGAAACCGAGCAACCUGCUACUGAACGCCAACUGCGACCUCAAGAUCUGCGACUUCGGCCUCGCGCGGCCGUCGUCGGAGAGCGACAUGAUGACGGAGUACGUGGUCACGCGGUGGUACCGGGCCCCGGAGCUGCUGCUCAACUCCACCGACUACUCGGCCGCCAUCGACGUCUGGUCCGUCGGCUGCAUCUUCAUGGAGCUCAUCAACCGCGCGCCGCUCUUCCCGGGGAGGGACCACAUGCACCAGAUGCGGCUCAUCACGGAGGUGAUCGGCACCCCCACCGACGACGACCUGGGCUUCAUCCGGAACGAGGACGCCAGGAGGUACAUGAGGCACCUGCCGCAGUUCCCUCGCCGGUCCUUCCCGGGACAGUUCCCCAAGGUGCAGCCCGCCGCGCUGGACCUCAUCGAGAGGAUGCUCACCUUCAACCCGCUGCAGAGGAUCACAGGUGCGUCCGCGUCACUCCGCUUUGAUCUUCACGUGUGAAUUUCGUAGUGCCGCACCGCACUGCACGCAAUGCUGCUGCUGUUAGAGCGCCGUGCUUUGUUGACUGGCUUCGUACGGCCAGCGUUGGGGUCAGUGUCAGUGCUUAAGACAUCUUUGUGCUGGUUAUAAGUAGAUGCAAUCUGCCGCCACUUCGACCCCUAUUUUUAAGUUUACUGCAUGUGGACAUGUGCUCCCUUUUUAGACAAAAACCAUGUGUUCUGCCCACUUGAUUAAGAAAAGAUCUUUCUUUGCCUAUCUUUGGAGCUAGUAGUAUGUGCUGUAGACGACAAGGACUGUGCGUGUAGUGCAGAAUCACACUUUUUUUAGAAGAUCGUACUGUAUCUGUUUUUGGCAACAGACAUGAAUGGGAGAGAUCUGCUGCAGCUACUCUCAAAGGCUAGAUUCCUGUAUCUGUUUCACGACAGCAAUAAUAGAAGUAGCUUUUUGAGACGUCGGCCAGAGAACAGUAGAAAAGUUCUACCAAAUCAGUGACACUUAUUUUGGGAGAGGAAGUAGGUUUUAUUUGUGUUUCUUCAGUUAUACUUGAUGUCUGAGUGAUGUGCAUUCUUACUGAAAUUGCUCUUGUCACGUACGUAGAAAGUUAUGUUUCAUCAGUUAAUUGGUGUGUGACUGAUGUGGAUUCUUACUGAAUUUGCUCUUAUGAUGCAGUUGAAGAGGCGCUCGAGCACCCGUACCUAGAGCGGCUUCACGACGUCGCCGAUGAGCCCAUCUGCACGGACCCCUUCUCCUUCGACUUCGAGCAGCACCCUCUGACGGAAGACCAGAUGAAGCAGCUCAUAUUCAACGAAGCCCUCGAGUUGAACCCCAACUUCCGAUACUAGACGAUUCAUUCCUAGUUGCCCAACCCCCAAUAGUAUGAUUUCGGUGUAAAACUGUCUGUAAAUAGGAGUAAGAUCAAAGAACAUGGUAGGUUGCGCACUGCAUUUGUUUGUUUGUUCCGUGUAAGUUGUUGCUGCUUCUUCAGACCUUUGUCCCUUGGCUAUGCGAAUAAAAAAUUUGGAGUAUGAUUUGAGAGCAAAUCAUUCUCUAGUCUACGAAGAAAUAGAUUUUAUUAAUCAGGUGGAUGCUCACCUGAUAUCAGUUUAUGUCUCUAUAUAUGAAAGACAACAGUAUUUAGGAUAUGAACAAGAGCCUGUUUGUCAUAUCCCUUAACGUCUCCUCUAAGUGCUACAUAAUUUUACUAUUGUCAAUUAAAUGAAAAAUGGCUAUGCAUAAGCAAUGAAAAAUACUCCCACCCUCUUAGCACCGGUGUUCGACAAAUACUUUGGCUGGCUCCCCAUAUCUCUGUUGAUCUUCUCGCCUCUACAAGGGGAGGGGUGCGAUUGCUUCUUAACAAGAGAUGGUACACUUACGCACUUUCUAUGGAUUUUUUUUGUUACGGACUGAAGUGUAGUUUUAUGGUUGACGGCAGGGUGGAGUCGUCUUCCGCGAAAACAAUCCGUAGGAAGUUUUUGUAAGAGUAGGACUUUUGCUUCUUGAUGGUAGACGUAACAUUGUGCACAACAACGACCUCCCCAGCUCCAUCACCGCCCUAGUGUCGCCUUGGCGGCCAACGUCAUGGAGCUAGUGAUGUUUUGGUUUCAUCAUCCUAGGUUUUCUGUAUUGGUGGUCCAAUAGCCAAGAAUAAAGAUGCUUGUGGCUCACCCAUUGUGGGCACUACAAUUAUUCAAAACCUUCGAGAAUAAUAAAGUAAUCGAGAGCAAAGCUUUUUUUUGUAAAGGGUGGAUUUUAUGAACUUAAAAUGGAGCAUCUAGAGGAUGCACACACAAUGAGUACACAGAGUGGCGAAGCUAUGUACAACUCUGGGGCUGUGGGCCCCAGCCUUGGAGUACACACCAUGUCUCUUCAUAGUUAGGAUGCACACAACCAACACCAACGCAUAAACACAAAUAAACACAACAACAAAUAGCAAAGCCAUAUAAAAUCAAAGCUAUGCAUCACUGAGGAAAAGGAAAAAAAACAAAGCGAUCAAAACAGCGAUCGACAAACCAUAUCAAAUACCAUACCCGCACCAAUGAGCUCUUCACACCACAAAGACAACAAGGUUCUUCAGCAGCAAGGAAACAACACUCGCGCGCCGUCGUCACUAGAUCUUCCAUCAGAGGCCAAAUUCUAGGUUUUCACCCUGAAGAACAAGUCUGAACAUAUCCAAGCAAUGCUUCAACAGGGCGAUAACGCAAAAGCAUCGCCAUUGCCAGGCAUAAUCAAAGGUUAAUCAACACGGUUCAGGGUUUUCAUCCUAGGAGCUCGAUAACGGAUACUUGGGAAGCACCAUCAAAUCAGAGUCGAUCUCUUAUCACCGCCACUUUUCCAAGAUACCCGCAGCAUGUGCCGACUCAAAAGUCCCUCCGUCGCCUCACAAUUACAUCCUAUGCGUCAAGUCAAGGUCCAUAAAUUGCUUCAAACCUCACCUACCCUGAUCGAAUUGUAUGCACCGCCACCACGCCUUGGAUGGUCACAUCCUUUACCAACCAUUGCCGGUCGACACUGCACUGUCAAGGCCAUGAGUCGUGUACCGCUGCUUGCUACGGAUUGCCAGUCCGAGUGUGGACACGGGGACAAGACCUGCCUUGCACGGAUCCAGACGCUCCAACCUGAUCUUAGACGCUGUCUAAGACAAGCCUACCUCACGCUUCAACAGAAACUCGCUUUUACUCCACACACGGCGGAGGGGGAUGGCUGCACCAUGAGUUUUGCUACUAAGGCUAAUCAUAGUGGGAAGUAACUUGGACUAGUAACGUAAGUAUAGUGUCAUGCAAGUAUUCAUUUAUUAGGUUGUAGACUCAUAUUGCUAGAUUGUAGACUCAUUUUGCAUUAGGUUGUUGUCAUGUUAGGCUGGUCAUAGUGGGGAGUAACUUAGACUAGUAACAUGCAUAUGUUACUACCUCUAUAAUGCAUAGUAUCAUAGAUUAGUAUUAUAGGUGGUCUCAUUUAUUGUCAUGCAUGACACAUAGUAGCAUCACAUUUAUUAUGUUACGAUAUCUACCUAUGUUACUAUAACCAUCUCUCUCUUUUUUAAUUGUCUGCCAUAUAAGCAUGUUUGUGAGUCACAAGCGCAUGAUACUACUUAUGUUACCCCCAUUAUGGCUAGCCUUACGGUAUUAUGUUACCACAAGCACCUCUGUCCUCAUUAACUCCUUACCACAUAAGCAUAUAUGUCUUGAGGUGCGUUAUGUUACUAUUUAAGUUACUCUCAUUAUAGCUAGCCUAAGGCCGCGCUUGGAUAAGGUGUAAUCACAUACAGAGGUAUUUAGUUUACACGUGUAUAAUCACAUACAGAGGUACUGUAUUUAGUUCACACGUGUAUCUUACGGGUUAGAGGUACAGGAAACGGUAAUCCAAACAAGGCCUAAGUGAAUAGCGACUUAUAACAGCCAAACUAAACCAGGAGAAAGCAAGGCAUCUCAAAAAUAAAAUGCAUAUAAAAGAUCAUGCAAGGUACCAUGAAAAGUCACUACUGCAUUUCAUUCGAUAGAUCUGUGGCAUAAAGGCGAUCGAGUGCAACGGCACACAAACCACUGACAGAGUACAAGGUAUGGCCUCAAGCCAACGGACAUUAUUACAGAGAUGAUUACUUAGCAGUCUGCAGGUUCACACUGACCCCUAGUCUAACGCAGAACAAGAUCACCCUGAUCGCAUAGUAGCAGCAGUAGUAGACACGCCUCUUACGCUUCGGCGUACCUGUAAUCACAGUUACAAGGGUAACUGAUAAGACAGUCGCGUUGACAAAAGAAACUACCAAUGACCGAGAGAAUACACAGCGACCACUCACCCCAGUUCCGAGAGCCUGAGGUGUGCCUCCUUGUAGUCCUCGAAGAAAGCCUUCUCAUCCUACAAGAAUUAAGGGUAAAAUAAUAAUCAGCAUCCUGGCGCUGCUUAUCUCUACAAGCAAUUUAGUGAACAGUGAUGGGAGACAUACCGCAGCAUAUUUCUCCACAAGAGGGCGAAAGACAGGGUCAGUCAGCAGGGUUUUGUCACUUGGAAGCUGAAGAAGCCCCUCUUUGUCACCACUCAGAAGCUCCCUGUGAUAACAUAAAUACAGAUUCACUAUGUAAUCACCAACAGAUAUCGUGCGCCAAGUUGGGGAAAU
rnacentral:lncRNA from 1 species